UACACAGUCACAGAGGGGAGCUAACCCAGGAAAGCAUUCCCCUGAUUCAGUGUAUGACCCACUCAUGCCCUGCGCUUGUGCUUAGCGGCUCAGCUGGUUCCCACUCUUUGUGACCCAUUGGACUGUCAGGCUCCUCUGUCCAUGGGAUUCUCCAGGCAAGAAUACUGCAGAGGUUGCCAUGCCAUCCUCCAGGGGAUCUUUCUGACCCAGGGAUUGAACCCAUGUGUACUGUAUUGUAGGUGGAUUAUUUACCUGCUGAGCCAUCACAGAAGCCAAGGGUCUAGCUUUGCUUGCUCAUAGGAUGCCACAUGCAGAGCCUCACGCCGGGGCUUCACACCUGAGCUCCUGGCGUGAAAUGGCUAUGGCCAGGCCUCAGCUCCGCAGGGCGCGGCCAUUUGCAGAGAUGCCGCACCAGGCGCUUCAGUCUCGCGAGACGGGAGCUGACUGCAGCUGCGCCGAGAACUCCGACCCUUCCUUAGGCUGCAAACCCGCGCUUUGUCAAGCGGCCCCCACUGCGGCCUUCAGGGGACGCAUGCGCUCUAGAGCAGUGGUCCCCGACUUUUCAGCACCAGGGUCCAGGUCUAAGGAAGACACAUUUUCCAAGGACAUGUGGGUGGGGAGUGGUUUCAGGAUGAUUCACACGUGCAUUGCAUUAACCGUGCCCAUUGGCUCUAUUACUGUUACCUCAGCUCCACCUCAGAUCAGGCAUUCAAUCCCCGAGUUUGGGGACCCCCAACUUAGAGCCUGAGCACGUCUCUCUGUCCUUUGAGCAAACAACAAAGGUUUCCUUUGCUUCUGUUGGCUCUGAGGACACCAGCAGAAGGACCUUUCCUGGGGACAGAAUCUGGAGGGCCAGUAACACUUGCCUCUACUAAGGCCCUACACUUCCCCCGUUAUCAGGAAUAAACUGCCUGUUUGUUUUUUUUUUUUUAAGUCCUUGCCUCCCUCUGGGCACUAGCUCCCAUCCUUCUCAGGAAAACAAUCUAGCAAUUCUCUCCCCUAUAUCCUUUUUUUUCUUUUUUAUUUAUUUUUGGCUGCGCUGGUCUUCACUGCUGGGCACAGGCUUUCCCUAGUUGCCGCGAGUGGGGCUACUCUCUAGAUGUGGUGUGCGGGUUUCUCAUUGCGGUGGUUUCUCUUGUUUCAGAUCAUGGGCUCUAGAGCACACAGCCUUCAAUAGUUGCAGCAUCCGGGCUUACUUGUUCCACAGCAUAUGGAAUCUUUCCGGACCAGUGAUCAAACCCAUGUCCCCUCCACUGGCAGAUGAAUUCUUACCCACUGGACCAGGAGGGAAGUACUCUCCUCUUUAUUAUCAGACGUUUUUCUCCGUUGUUUAUUUUUUACCAGAAUACAACCACACUUCCAUUC
ensembl:lncRNA